GUUUCUGUAGUGUAGGUGGUUAUCACGUUCGCCUCACACGUGAAAGGUCCCCGGUUCGAAACCGGGCAGAAAUA